rnacentral:rRNA from 1 species
AUUGAACGCUGGCGGCAGGCCUAACACAUGCAAGUCGAGCGGAUGAAGGGGGCUUGCUCCUGGAUUCAGCGGCGGACGGGUGAGUAAUGCCUAGGAAUCUGCCUGGUAGUGGGGGAUAACGUCCGGAAACGGGCGCUAAUACCGCAUACGUCCUGAGGGAGAAAGUGGGGGAUCUUCGGACCUCACGCUAUCAGAUGAGCCUAGGUCGGAUUAGCUAGUUGGUGGGGUAAAGGCCUACCAAGGCGACGAUCCGUAACUGGUCUGAGAGGAUGAUCAGUCACACUGGAACUGAGACGCGGUCCAGACUCCUACGGGAGGCAGCAGUGGGGAAUAUUGGACAAUGGGCGAAAGCCUGAUCCAGCCAUGCCGCGUGUGUGAAGAAGGUCUUCGGAUUGUAAAGCACUUUAAGUUGGGAGGAAGGGCAGUAAGUUAAUACCUUGCUGUUUUGACGUUACCAACAGAAUAAGCACCGGCUAACUUCGUG